CCUACGGGUGGCAGCAGUGGGGAAUAUUGGGCAAUGGGCGCAAGCCUGACCCAGCAACGCCGCGUGAAUGAAGAAGGCUUUCGGGUCGUAAACUUCUUUCAACAGGGAAGAGCAUAAGACGGUACCUCUUGAAUAAGCCACGGCUAACUACGUGCCAGCAGCCGCGGUUAUACGUAGGUGGCAAGCGAUGUCCGGAUUUACUGGGUGUAAAGGGCGUGCAGACGGGAAGACAAGUCUGAUGUGAAAUCCCGGGGCUCAACCGCGGAACUGCAUUUGAAACUGUGUGUCUGGAGUACAGGAGAGGUCAUCGGAAUUCCUUGUGUAGCGGUGAAAUGCGUAGAUAUAAGGAGGAACACCAGUGGCGAAGGCGGAUGACUGGACGGCAACUGACGGUGAGGCGCGAAAGCGUGGGGAGCAAACAGGAUUAGAUACCCGUGUAGUC
rnacentral:rRNA from 1 species